rnacentral:rRNA from 1 species
UAGGGAAUCUUCCACAAUGGACGCAAGUCUGAUGGAGCAACGCCGCGUGAGUGAAGAAGGUUUUCGGAUCGUAAAUCUCUGUUGUUGGUGAAGAAGGAUAGAGGCAGUAACUGGUCUUUAUUUGACGGUAAUCAACCAGAAAGUCACGGCUAACUACGUGCCAGCAGCCGCGGUAAUACGUAGGUGGCAAGCGUUGUCCGGAUUUAUUGGGCGUAAAGCGAGCGCAGGCGGAAUGAUAAGUCUGAUGUGAAAGCCCACGGCUCAACCGGGGAACGGCAUCGGAAACUGUCAUUCUUGAGUGCAGAAGAGGAGAGUGGAAUUCCAUGUGUAGCGGUGGAAUGCGUAGAUAUAUGGAAGAACACCAGUGGCGAAGGCGGCUCUCUGGUCUGCAACUGACGCUGAGGCUCGAAAGCAUGGGUAGCGAACAGG